rnacentral:tRNA from 1 species
CGGGGUGUAGCUCAGUUGGCUAGAGCAUCUGCUUUGGGAGCAGAGGGUCGCAGGUUCGAGUCCUGUCACCCCGA